GGCUGUGUGGAUGUUACACGUAGCACAGGUGGUACAGGUGGCACAGGCCGUACGGAUGUUACACGUAGCACAGGUGCCACAGGUGCCACAGGUGUUGUAGGUAUUACAGGUGGCACAGGUGCCCCAGGUGGCACAGGUGGCACAGGCCGUACGGAUGUUACACGUAGCACAGGUGCCACAGGUGCCACAGGUGUUGUAGGUAUUACAGGUGCCCCAGGUGGCACAGGUGCCACAGG